GACAAGGAGCCGAGGGGCAUCAUCCCACUGGAGAACCUCAGCAUCAGAGAGGAGGAGGGCCCAUGGAAAGCCAACUGCUUUGAGCUUUACAAUCCCAGCCACAAAGAGCAGGUCAUCAAAGCCUGCAAGACAGAGGCUGACGGCCCGUGUAUUGCUUCUCUGCACAGAGCCGUGAAGAGAAGGAUGAGUGGGUGAAAUCCAUCAACAAGCAUCAGCAGGGAUCCUUCCUAUGACAUGUUGGCAACGAGGAAAAGGAGGAUUGCCAAUAAGAAAUAGAGCUGCCCUGGCCCUGCAGAGGUCAGUGUCAGAGUACACUACCAGAACACGUGGAUCCAGCCGAUACCUGCAGAAGCAGCGGCCAGAAAUUAGCAACCCAAACACCAGCACCACCUCAGACAGGACCUGGCACUGUCGUGACCACUUACUGAGGACGCUCAAUGUACAGGCACAGGCUCGUCCAGGUCUCUCGGCAGGCUCCUGUGGGCUUUCUUCUCCAGGUGACUGUCCCUACUUUCUGUGCUCUCGUACCUGCGUUUGCAUGACUUUACGCUUUCGUGUUCAUGAAGCCGAUCCGAGAGGCCACCAUUGUGGUCAGCUCCGAAGGCCACCUUCUCCUGGGGAUAGUGCUUUUGGUGCAGAGGGAAAGGAGCUGCAGCUCCUGUGUGUGGGCUGUGGAGGUGGGUCUGCUCCCUCACUGGGAUCUGCUCCCAGCCCUUCCUGGCCCGGGAGGAGUCCUUGUGUGGCCGCGUCAUACUGGGCUCCCUGA
rnacentral:lncRNA from 1 species